CAUUCGGAUGGAUAGAGAGUUCUUAAAAAUAAAUUUCCAAAGGGAUUUGUUGAGACUAUCCCUGUAUCUUCCUGCACCAGUGAAGAGCACUAGUUUGACUUAGUAAGAAAGACUGAAUUGCAGUGCCAAAAUCAGUAGCUCUGCUCACCUUGAGUUGUGGCUGUCCAAAGGACAGUUCUCUGCAGGCACAGCUACACAGAGUUUGGCUUCCCGGCGCUGCUGAAAACGUCCUAGAAUCCCACCUGACUGGAGGUUGCUUUCCACGCUUAGUCAGAAGUUCUGUGAAACCUUAGUUGAAAUAAUCCACAGGUAAAUCUUUGUCUACGGGAGAAAGGUCAAAAUAAACAAAAGAGAGAGCAGCUGGAACACUUGUGGAAGGACAUGGGCAGCGUGUGUGUGCAGGGCAGCACACUGGCAGGACCUGAUGCUUCUGCAAUGGGUCCCUCUGAGCUAAUACUAACACGAGGAACUCUCGAUGAAGAGCAAGAAGAGAGGGAGAGUGACGCUGAUGACAUUGACCAUGAAGGUAAGGGAAUGAGGUCUAAAAGCUGCCUCUCAGGAAAUCCCCUCUAUAUUUCAUGACCUGGAUGGACUGUAAGGAGAGCCUAGAAAACAAGCAAACAUUCAGUCACCUGAUGUGUCAGAAUCUGUAGCAGAAGCUCAGCUGCAAUGGUCAGUGCAGGGAUAUCACUCUGUAACCUUUGUGAAAGUUCAAUUGUAAAUUUUCUAUUCAAGUAAUUAAUAGGUGUAUAAUACACAUAGACCAGAGAACUCGUUAGGCUUGGGGCAUGCAGUGACCUCUGAACCUGAUUGAUGCACAGAUGUGUCCAUCAUCUUUUUGGCCUUACAGUUUCUGCCCCUGGCUCUCUUCCCUUUUCCUGUGACUGUGGUCUUGGAGCAAUCUUCUAAGUUGUUACAGUGUGAUUUUUCUCUUCUAUAGCUCACAGACUUAAUCUUCAUUCUUUCCCUGUU